GGGGGUGUAGCUCAGUGGUACAGCACAUGCUUAGUAGGCACGAGGUCAUGGGUUCCAUCCCCAGAACCUCCA
rnacentral:tRNA from 1 species